rnacentral:rRNA from 1 species
CCCCUAGAUGUUCUGGGCCGCACGCGCGCUGCACUGAACAGCUCAACAAGUCUUAACCUUGGCCGAUAGGUCUGGGUAAUCUUUGAACGCUGUUCGUGAUUGGGAUAGACCUUUGCAAUUAUGGGUCUUCAACGAGGAAUUCCUAGUAAACGCAAGUCAUCAGCUUGCAUUGAUUACGUCCCUGCCCUUUGUACACACCGCCCGUCGCACCUACCGAUUGAAUGGUCCGGUGAAAUCUCGGGACGGCGGCUUGGUCGCUUGCGUCCGACUGCUGAAACUUGAUUAAACCAUAUCAUUUAGAGGAAGGUGAANUCGUAACA